AUGAGCAAGAUAGGAAAAAGUAAGCUUCUUUGUGAAGGUACUCUACUUCACAUGUGUUGUUGUGCCCAUAUUUUGAAUUUGGUAGUGAAGGAUGGAUUAGAUGCCAUGAAAUCAGCUAUAGAAAACAUCCGUGAAAGUGUUGCAUAUUGGACUGCCUCACCCAAAAGGAUAGAGACAUUUGAGGAUAUGGCGAAGUAUAACAAAGUAAAAAUAACAAGGAAGUUGAGACUUGAUUGCAAGACUAGGUGGAACUCUACUUUCAUAAUGCUUGACAUAGCUUUACCUUAUAGACUUGUGUUUGAACGUUUAAAAGAAAAGGACAAGCAAUAUGAGUGGCUACCUAGUUCGGAAGAAUGGGCUUUCGCUACCGAUGUUGUAGAGAGACUUAGAUUGUUCUAUGAAGUAACUGAGCUAUUUUCAGGAACUGGUUAUGUGACUGCCAAUGUUUACUUUCCUAAGAUAUGUGAAAUUAAAAUGAAAAUGAGGCAGUGGGAAACUUCUAGCAACGAAAUUGUUCAAAACAUGACAAAAAGCAUGGCUGUAAAAUUUGAUAAGUAUUGGAGCGACAUCCAAGGUCUAAUGGCUAUAGCUACACUUCUUGAUCCUCGGUACACAAAGCAAAUGUUGGUAGCUUGCUUUGCCAUGUUGCAUGGUAUUGAGCCAUCUUGUUAUGAAUGUACUGCAAAAGUUGAUGACAUAGUUGCUAGUCUGCAUUCAUUGUUAGACCACUAG
rnacentral:rRNA from 1 species